rnacentral:tRNA from 1 species
GCUCGUAUGGUGUAGCGGCCCAUCAUGGUGGACUCUCAAUCCAUCGACCCGGAUUCAAAUUCCGGUACGAGCA